ensembl:lncRNA novel transcript
GGCAACCCGCUUGGGUCCCCUUCCACGCUGUGCGAGCUUUGUUCUUUCGCUUUUUGCAAUAAAUCUUGCUACUGCUCACUCUUUGGGUCCACGCUGCUUUUAUGAGCUGUAACACUCACCGCGAAGGUCUGCAGCUUCACUCCUGAAGCCAGUGAGACCACGAGCCCACCGGAAGGAACGAACAACUCCAGACGCGCCACCUUAAGAGCUGUAACCCUCACCGCGAAGGUCCACGGCUUCAUUCCUGAGCCAGCGAGACCACGAACCCACCAGAAGGAAGAAACUCCAAACACAUCCGAACAUCAGAAGGAGAAAACUCCAGAUGCGCCACCUUAAGAGCUGUAACACUCACCGCGAGGGUCCGCAGCUUCAUUCUUGAAGUCAGUGAGACCAAGAACCCACCAAUUCUGGACACGCUACCUCGAUCCAGAUGAAGGUACCCCAAGCAGCUUGAGAUGUGAUGAUGGAGACCAGUUUGAGAAGACCCAUCAUCUCUGAUUUCCCUCUGAUUAUGAAGUAAUACAACAAAGCUACAACAGGAUCUCACUCUGUCACUCAGGCUGGAAUGCUGUGGCACAAUCAUAGCUUACUGCCGCCUCAAACUCCUGGGCUCAAGCGAUCCUGGCACUUGAGAUUACAGGCACACACCACCACACCUGGCUAAUUAAAAAAAAAAAAUGUGGAAAUGAGAUCUCCCUAUGUUGCUCAAGCUGGUCUCUAACUGCUGACCUGGCCUCAAGUGAGCUUCCCAUCUCAGGCUCUUGAAGUGCUAGAAUUACAAACAUGAGCCACAGUGCUUGCCCUCUCUUUUUUCUUCUUUAAUAAAAUAAGAUGUUAUAAAUACUUGUACCUGAUAUUCUAACAAAUAAAGGAAUAUAACGGUAAAUGUUCCUUUUAAGAAAGGCACGACCUCUAGUAAAACAUUUUUGCCAGAAAUUUGAAAUAUUUUAGAAAUAAAGAUGGCUAUGAUAUUCUACAAAAUAA